CGCCGGGCUUGAACGUGGUCCCGCCCGGCGCUCGCUCUUCCUUUUCCGCCGGGGCGCGCUACGGAUGGUCCUAUGCCCGGGGUGCUAAUGAAAUCAAGGUGUGGUGCUGGAAAUGAACUGGUACAACUUCUAGAAGAGAAGGUAAGCAGCUGUAUGAAAGACCCCCCGCCUCACCCUAAGUUGAACAUAGCUAACGCCAUUUUGUGGUACACCACUGUUUUGAGAAACUCUGUAGGCUAGGUGGGAAACUGGAAAAUUACUAAAAAACCCAGCUGUGUCGCCCACUUGGGAUAUCUGCGGUCAGGCUGCCCCAGUUGAGCUAAAAACAACUUGUGUUGAUCACCUUCAUGGGAUAUCUGUGGGACUGUUCCAGCUGAGAUAGGAGUCCUAAGGAAAACAACAUAUGGCGGCCCAAGUUAUGGGGUCAUCAUGACCAUUUCGACCACCCAGUUUUUGGUAUCCUGGUGUCUCUGCCAAACUCUGACUCAAAUUGUGGUCUCAUUUAAAUGUACCAAUCAAUUCCUGUAACCAUGCUUCUCGCUUCUGUACCCGCGCUUCUGCUCUAAAACCCUAUAAAAACCCAGCUUUCCACCCAGAGGGCGCGCAAGUCCUCCGAGAGACUUUGUCGCCCCGGGUACCCGUGUACUGAAUAAAGCCUCUUGCUGUUUGCAGCCGAAUAACUGGUCUCGCUGAUCCUUGGGAGGGGGGUCUCCCUGACGGAAGAUACCCCUCCGGGGUCUUUCACUGUACAGAACCAAGGUGUCAGGUUUCUUUGCCCCCUUUAUAGUGGGAAUAGAUGAAUUGUGAGGCAGUCCCAAUUGCAGAUAGAGAAAUAUGAGAAUUUUGUGCCUGUAGAAUUCUGUUCCAUUAGUCGGGCAGUGGUGGUGUCCACCUUUAAUCUUAGCGUUUAGGGGCAGGUAGAUCUGUGAGUUCAAGGCCAGCCAAGGCUACAGAGAAACUCUGUUUCAAAAAAUGGAAGAAAAAAAAUCAGUUCCAUUUAGUUUUCUGAGUCAGCCCUAGCCAGAGACUUGCCACAAUAUUUAUACAAAAGAUCUUAUUGGAAAGGUUGGUUUUAUAUUUUUGCCUGCAUGUCUGAACCAUGUGUGCAGUGCCCGCGGAGGCCAGAAGAGGGCAUCGAAUCCCUCUGGAAUUGAAGUUAGUUUGUGAGCGGCCAUGUGGGUAUUGGGAAUUGAACCUAACUCCUAGAAGAGCAGCCAGCCUGGGCCCUUCACUGCUGGGCAUCUCUGUAGCCCUAAACUUUGCCAGCUCAGAAUUGUCUAACACAUGGUUGGCAUCUUGUGUGCCCAGGAGGGUGAGGUGUGUGGUGGCAUCCACGUGGUGUCCUGGCCAGGUGUGCUCGUUAGCUGUAGCUGGAAUGAGCAGACAACCUGUGUGAUUUAAGCUACCAGGCAGAUGCCUCCUUAUGCUCAGAUACCUUGCAGAGAAAUGAAGCGAAUUUUAAGUUAAAUUGUGAGGUUAACUUGGCCCUGACCAUGGGUACUUGAAGUCGUGAGCUUUAAUCAUUACCAAACCAGGAUCUGAUACAAAACGUUACUGAGAAAUGCAGGAUUUGAAACAAAAUGUUUCUGAGAAAUGCCCUUCUGUAGUCAUGGACUGAAGAGUGCAAACAAUCCCUGGACCCCCUCCUGUUUGCUUUGCACUCACUGCACCUGGAUACAACCAGUCACCGAUUGCCCCCUUAGGGAAGUCCCUCACCCCUAGACCCCCUCCUGCUUUGUGGUUUUGCCUUUAUAAACUCCGUGAUUCUGUUGCUCCGGACUCUCCACUGCCCCUUGCACGGGAGCUGUGUGCUGAGCCCCCUGCGAAUAAAAGCCUCUUGCUGUUUUUC